GACGUAGGGGCCGAGCGUUGUCCGGAGUUACUGGGCGUAAAGGGCGCGCAGGCGGUUGGUCACAUCGGCGGUGAAAGCCCCCCGCUCAACGGGGGAGGGUCCGUCGAGAUGGGCCGACUGGAGGCAGGGAGAGGGCGGUGGAAUUCCGGGUGUAGUGGUGAAAUGCGUAGAUAUCCGGAGGAACACCAGUGGCGAAGGCGGCCGCCCUGG
rnacentral:rRNA from 1 species